GGUCCGUUAGCUCAGUCGGCAGAGCGUGGUGCUAAUAACGCUAAGGUCAUGGGUUCGAGACCCAUACGGACCA
rnacentral:tRNA from 1 species